UACAGAGGUCCCAAGCGUUGUUCGGAUUCACUGGGCGUAAAGGGUGCGUAGGUGGUGAGGUAAGUCGGAUGUGAAAGCUCGGAGCUCAACUCCGAAAUGGCAUUGGAAACUACCUUGCUCGAGGGUUGGAGGGGGGACUGGAAUACUUGGUGUAGCAGUGAAAUGCGUAGAUAUCAAGUGGAACACCAGUGGCGAAGGCGGUCUGCUGGGCAGUUGCUGACACUGAGGCGCGACAGCGUGGGGAGCAAACAGG
rnacentral:rRNA from 1 species